GAAUUCGCCCUUAGAGUUUGAUCCUGGCUCAGGACGAACGCUGGCGGCGCGCCUAACACAUGCAAGUCGAACGGAGCUUAGAGAGCUUGCUUUUUAAGCUUAGUGGCGAACGGGUGAGUAACGCGUGAGUAACCUGCCCUAGAGUGGGGGACAUCAGUUGGAAACGACUGCUAAUACCGCAUAAGACCACGGGAUCACAUGGUUCUGAGGUAAAAGAUUUAUCGGUUUGGGGUGGGCUCGCGUCCGAUUAGGUAGUUGGUGAGGUAACGGCCCACCAAGCCGACGAUCGGUAGCCGACCUGAGAGGGUGAUCGGCCACAUUGGGACUGAGACACGGCCCAAACUCCUACGGGAGGCAGCAGUGGGGAAUAUUGGGCAAUGGAGGAAACUCUGACCCAGCAACGCCGCGUGGAGGAAGAAGGUUUUCGGAUCGUAAACUCCUGUCCUUGGAGACGAGUAGAAGACGGUAUCCAAGGAGGAAGCCCCGGCUAACUACGUGCCAGCAGCCGCGGUAAUAUGUAGGGGGCAAGCGUUGUCCGGAAUAAUUGGGCGUAAAGGGCGCGUAGGCGGCUCGGUAAGUCUGGAGUGAAAGUCCUGCUUUUAAGGUGGGAAUUGCUUUGGAUUCUGUCGGGCUUGAGUGCAGGAGAGGUUAGUGGAAUUCCCAGUGUAUCGGUGAAAUGCGUAUUUAGAUGGAAGUACGCCAGUGGCGAAGGCGGCCGUCUGGUCUGUUGCUGUCACUGAUGCAAAAGUGGGGGGCCCUCAUAGGGGUUUCGUUUCCCUCGUCGUCCACGCCGUNCCCCCUAGAGCUAGGUGUUGGGGGAAUAACUCAGUGCCGCAGUCAACGCAAUAAGUUCUCCGCCGGGGGAGUAUGCACGCAAGUGUGAAACUCAAAGGAAUUGACGGGGGCCAGCACAAGCGGCGGAGUAUGUGGUUUAAUUCGAAGCAACGCGAAGAACCUUAUCAGGCCUUCACAUCCCUUGCAGAGGUAUAGAGAUAUAUCCGAGGUUCCCAAGGAGACAGGUGGUGCAUGGUUGUCGUCAGCUCGUGUCGUGAGAUGUUGGGUUAAGUCCCGCAACGAGCGCAACCCUAUGUGAUAUGUUCCUAACAUUGAGUUGAGGACUCAUAUCAGACUGCCGGUGAUAAACCGGAGGAAGGUGGGGAUGACGUCAAAUCAUCAUGCCCCUUAUGGCCUGGGCUACACACGUACUACAAUGGCGUCUACAAAGAGCGGCAAGCCUGUGAAGGCAAGCGAAUCUCAUAAAGGACGUCUCAGUUCGGAUCGAAGUCUGCAACCCGACUUCAUGAAGCUGGAAUCGCUAGUAAUCGCGAAUCAGCAUGUCGCGGUGAAUACGUUCUCGGGCCUUGCACACACCGCCCGUCA
rnacentral:rRNA from 1 species